rnacentral:rRNA from 1 species
GACGAACGCUGGCGGCGUGCUUAACACAUGCAAGUCGAACGGGCCUUGUCCCCUUUUUUUUUGGGGGUGGGGUUAGUGGCGAACGGGUGAGUAACACGUGAGUAACCUGCCCCUCACUUCUGGAUAACCGCUUGAAAGGGUGGCUAAUACGGGGUGUUCUGGCCUGCUCGCAUGGGUGGGUUUGGAAAGAUUCGACCGGUUUUGGUGGUUUUGGUGGGGGAUGGGCUCGCGGCCUAUCAGCUUGUUGGUGGGGUGAUGGCCUGCCAAGGCUUUGACGGGUAGCCGGCCUGAGAGGGUGGGCGGUCACACUGGGACUGAGACACGGCCCAGACUCCUACGGGAGGCAGCAGUGGGGAAUAGUGCACGAUGGGCGCAAGCCUGAUGCAGCGACGCCGCGUGAGGGAUGGAGGCCUUCGGGUUGUGAACCUCUUUCGCCAGUGAAGAAGGUCCUGCUCUUUGUGGUGGGGUUGACGGUAGCUGGGUUAAUGAAGCGCCGGCUAACUACGUG